UACGUAGGGUGCAAGCGUUGUCCGGAAUUAUUGGGCGUAAAGAGCUCGUAGGCGGUCUGUCGCGUCGGAAGUGAAAACCCGGGGCUCAACCCCGGGCCUGCUUUCGAUACGGGCAGACUAGAGUUCGGCAGGGGAGACUGGAAUUCCUGGUGUAGCGGUGAAAUGCGCAGAUAUCAGGAGGAACACCGGUGGCGAAGGCGGGUCUCUGGGCCGAUACUGACGCUGAGGAGCGAAAGCGUGGGGAGCGAACAGG
rnacentral:rRNA from 1 species